rnacentral:rRNA from 1 species
CAGUCGCCGCGGGAAAACGGAGGGAGCUAGCGUUGUUCGGAAUCACUGGGCGUAAAGCGCACGUAGGCGGCUAUUCAAGUCAGGGGUGAAAGCCCGGGGCUCAACCCCGGAACUGCCUUUGAAACUAGAUAGCUUGAAUCUUGGAGAGGCGAGUGGAAUUCCGAGUGUAGAGGUGAAAUUCGUAGAUAUUCGGAAGAACACCAGUGGCGAAGGCGACUCGCUGGACAAGUAUUGACGCUGAGGUGCGAAAGCGUGGGGAGCAAACAGGAUUAGAUACCCGUGUAGUCCCUGUCUCUUAUAC